AGACACAUAAUUGUAUCCCUUGAAUAUUAGAUUUGAAUUGAUUUGUGAUCCAUAGAAGGAAGAAAUGAGAGAACAAUUCAGAUAAAAAAUUAAGAACUGAACAAAAAUCGACGUCAUUAAUUCAGAUGUCUUUAAUGAUUUUACAUAGAAAUUAUAGCACCUUAAAAAUUCAUAAUAUCAAGAUCCAAAAUAUGAAGAAAA
rnacentral:lncRNA from 1 species